AAGGAAAUGAUCUGUUUAAUUACAGUCAAAGAAAUGCUGUGCUGCCUUGGAUGGUGGUAAUAAUAAUGAAAUGUAUUGAGGGCCAUGGUUACGUGAACUGAUGGCUAUAAAGAGCCAUCUUGGGUGUACCUCCCAGUACAAACAGGGGGAAAGAUUCUGCCUCAAGGGAGCCCAGCUUUACCUCUGACCAGAUAAAGGAGUGUGUGAGGAGAGAACUGGCAAAAUUUUAGGAUUUAUGCAAUGUGAAGUAUCUUACCAAAAUGGAUGGACCAGGUGUGCCUAAGUAACGGCUGAUUGAUAGCAGGUGUUGCCCCACACUUUUUAAAUAAUAAAAAGACUCACUCAAGUUGUGACUGGGAAGAGAGCUAUGAGUUCACCUCAGAAGCAGAGAGGUGUGGAUAAUGACUUGCCUUCCAGAACUGGAGAGAGACAGAACAAUGUGGGAUCCAAGCACAAGGAAGCUGUUCCCUGGCUGUGCGAUAUCGGUCUUGAGGGAACUGGUGUCUGGCUAUGGGUAUCUGGUGCAGAAGGAAUAUGAUGGCUGAGUUUUAAGGGUACCUGUUAGAAUGGAUUAAGAUUACAGA